ACUAGCAAACAACCUCAGCUUCAUAAAUCCAGCAGAAAGGUCCGGGGUAUUGUUGAAAAGGUCGGAAGGACCAAGAUUAUGUCCGCCAGCCUAAGUGGGACGAACAACCAAGUUGUGCGAUGCAGCUUUAAAGGGGCUGGUGAUUGACAGAAUGGUGUAGUAGUAGAUGGGGUGGAGCCGCUGGGUGGGGUCGAGACUGGCAGCUGAGAGAUACCAAAAGGAAGAAAAAAGAAAACCAUUGCUCUUGAUAUUGCUAAUGCCGGGGGAGGUAAGCUAACGAGAAAGUAGGGAAAAGGAAGGUUUUAGAGUUCACCUCCACUCCUUCCCCUGGCUAACACUCUUUACACUCUUCUGCCUUCCCUUGAGAUAAUUAAAAUAGACUGUACACCGGCCCUAGUCGGUGCCCAUUCCCCCUAACUCUUCACUCAACUACGUGUGUAGUCCGAGGGAGUGAGGACCCCGGGUCCAAGAGCUCAAUCCCGGCCCCGCCCCGUCGGCCCAGGCCCCGGGGCUGGGAGGAGAGGAUGCCUUCGGAGGCGCAGAAUCCGAAAAGAUGUGGUUGGAGCUGGAAGCUGUUAUCCUCAGCAAACUAAUGCAGGAGGAGAAAACCAAAUACUGCAAGUUCUCACUUAUAAGUGGGAACUGAAUGAUGAGAACAUUUGGACAUGAGACAGGGUUUUGCCAUGUUGGCCAGCCUGGUCUGGAACUCCUGGCCUCAAGUGAUCUGCCCACCUUUGCAGCAGGACGAGCCACGGACAAAACCCCACAGACACCAAGGUAGUGAAGGAAGUGGCUUUAAUCAGCUGGAAGGAUCGGCAGACUAAUGUCUCAAAAUCCGAGAUCCCUGAGUGCACAAUUUCUGUCCCUUUUAAGGGCUCACAAUGCUAAAGAUUUUACGUGAAAGGGCCAUGAUUGAUCGAGCAAUCUAGGGGGUAUGUGACAGGGGCUGCAUGCACCGGUAAUCAGAGUGAAACAGAACAGAAGGAGAAGUUUCACAAUGUCCUUCCAUACAAUGUCUGGAAUCUAUGGAUAACAUCGGUUGCUAGGUCAUGGGUUGAAUUUUAAAGGCCUGGUUUUGGGACUGGGUUUGGGUCUGGUGCCUGGCACCGGGCUGCCUGCCUUUGGUUUCACUUCCUUGUUUCUUCUUAAAAUGGGUACUGAGUAUAAAACAAUGUAAAACAAUAUGAGGGGUCUCUUUUUCUCUUCUCUCACCUUGGCCUCCCAAAGUACUUUUCCUUCUCUAGCUAUGCAAUAUUGUCCAAUAAUUGAGACUUUUAGAACCCAGAAAUUGUCAGGAUGGUUCUUUUGGGCUGGGAAUUCAUCAGGAACUGGGUCCGUAGGGACUAAUUCUUGGGCUUCCCAUGGCCAUUGAUCUCCUGUUACAGUUCCUCCACAAACAUAACACAAAGUGAUUUUAAAGACUGUGCUACAUGCUCAGCUAAUUGCAAAAACAAAUUUCUAGUUUUUCCUGGAAUCUCAGGUACUGGCACAUUUAGUUCAUCAUAGAAAGUCUGAAAUACUGGCUCUAGAGAGCGUUUUCGAACCUCUCCUUUUAUUAAGAUAUUUAUUCUAGGAUCUUGUCCUUUUCCAUCAAUGCCUAGAGAUACGUGCUCUCCUUUUUCCCACUUUGGGUCUGAAGGAUUUGUAAUUAUUAAUUCUAAAGGGUUGCAGCUUCCACUUGUGCAGGAGGGGCUGCUUUUUCCUUUUUGGAGCCAAACAAGAUCUUAUUCAUCUUUUUUCCAAGUAGCCCAGAUGACACAAGACCAGUAUUGACACACAUUUGUACAUGAAUAUGAUUCAUGGCAGAUAUACUUAUUUUCUGCUGUGUAACUCUUUUCCCAAUCUAGAGAACCGCAUCUUAUUCCUUGCUGAUUACUAUUAAUAGUGGCACAAGUGUCGAAUUUUAGGGUUACAUGUUUGGGGACCCCUCUUUCUUCUGUUCUAGCUAUUACUUUACUUGUGUCACCUAGAAAAGGGCCAGUCCUUAGUCUUAUUUCAAAUACCGUGAUCAUGGGAGGAUCAGAGGGGUCAUAACACACAUCAGGCUGAUCACUUUCUGGAUUACAUACUUUGUACUGAGUGUUAUUAUAUAAACAUGUUCCUUUUGGUGUUCCUAGGCACUCAUAAUAACUAUAGGACAAAAAGAUUGUUUUAACUUGUUGUCCUACCUCAGUGACCUGAUGUACACACUGAAAGCAGUCCUCCGUGUGAAAAGAAGCAGUGGAAGCUUUUACCACACAAGUCCAUGUCACAAGGAAAAUAAGUCCCAUGACAAUUUUCCUCAUGCUUCGGCCGUGCGUAGACCAGUCAACUUCCGGGUUUGACUGGAGUAGGGCUUGUCAUCCUCCUCAGAGUCACUUUACAGGGAUUGUCCAGGCUUGGUUUGGCCUCCUAGGUUUCAGUGGCUGCAGGCUUUAUGCUGCUGUGUGAUCCAGGCCAGGAUUCCUUCCGCCUUUACAGCUGUGGGAGUGGUCAUGAUAACAGUCUGGGGUCCUUUCCAUCAUGGCCGCAGAGGAGCUACUUUCCAGUCCUUGAUUCACACACGGUCAUCUGGAGAAAAAGGGUGAACUGGGGAGAAUAAGCUGACCAGGCACCUCUCAUUUACCCAAGCUGAGAUUGUCUGGGUAAUUUUCCCCAAGGCCUGUAGCUGUCGCUGCAAUUCAAUUUCACCUAACUCUUGGGGAGUACCCGGAAGUCCUCGCAGUAUAGGAGGAGGACUAUGAUAUAAUACUUUGUAAGAGGAGUAUCCUGUUUUCUUAGAGGGGGUGCACCUAAUUUUAAACAAUACCAUAGGAAGGGCCUGUAUCCAUUUUAAUCCUGUCUCUUGACAUACUUUCCCUAAACUAUUUUUGACAGUCCGAUUCAUUCGCUCCACUUUUCCAGAACUCUGAGGUCGGUAGGCAGCAUGUAACUUUCAUGUGAUUCCCAAUACCUUUGCUGUCUUCUGUACUAAGUCAACCACAAAUGCUGGCCCAAUAUCUGAGCCAAUCCAUAGCGGCAGUCCAAACCUAGGGACAAGAUCUCAAAGAAGCACACGGGUUACUUCACGAGCUUUUUCAGUUCGUGUCGGAUAAGCCUCUACCCACCCAGAGUAAGUACACACUAGAACCAGUAAAUACUUCUUACCUCCGCAUUUGGGCAUCUCUGUGAAGUCCACUUGAAGAUCUUCAAAAGGAGCUACUCCAUAGGCUUGUAUGCCGGGAGGGACAGAGGGGUCUUGCUUUGCAUUGUGCUGUCAAUAGGUAACGCAUUGCUGCGCUACUGUUUUAGCUAGAGCUGGCAAGUGUGAGAUGUAGAAGUACCAGCUUAACAGCUUUUCAAGUGACUCUUGACCUAAAUGGGUAGUUUCAUAUACAGCCAGCACUACUGUGGCUCCUAGCAGCUGUGGCACAGCUAUUCUCCCCCAUCUGGUAACUUUAUCCAUCCUUCUUUUAUUUUGUCCUCUUUCUGCCUGAAGAAUGUCUUUUUCCUCUUUAGAAUAAGUAGGGACCAGAUCAGGUGUUUGAGGGAGUAGGGGGGCUGUGACUGAUGCCCAGUAGGGAGUAGAUGCUGCUUUUCAUGCCUCUGUGUCUGCCCAGGAGUUUCCUCGGCUCACUGAGGUGGAAACUUGCUGGUGUCCCCUGCAAUGCGUGACUGCCACCUUUUGGGGUUUCCACACUGCCUCUAAUAAUUGUAGAAUUUCUUGUUGAUAUUUUAUGUUCUUUCCCCCAGAAUUUAACAGGCCUUUUUCUUUAUAUAAUGCCCCAUGUACUUGAAGGGUUAGAAAGGCAUAUCGAGAGUCAGUAUAAAUGUUUACAGUCUUACCUUCACUGAGUUCUAGAGCCCGAGUUAAAGCAACGAGUUCUGCUUUCUGGGCUGAAGUGCCCUGAGGCAAUGGCUUGGCUUCAAUAACAUUAUCCAAGGUUACCACCGCAUAUCCUGGACAUCUUUCUCCUUGUGGGUUGAUGAAGCUGCUCCCGUCUACGUAUAACUCCCAGUCUACUGAUGCCCAUGGCUGGUCUCGAAGAUCCGGUCUGCUAGAAUAGACUGAGUCCAACACCUCUACACAGUUGUGUUCAACAGGGCUGUCUGAUACUGGGAGCAAGGUGGAAGGAUUUAGUGUGUUACAGACUUCAAUGGUUAUGCGGGGGUUUUCACACAAGCUUUGGUACUUGGUUAAUCUAGCAUUUGUUAGCCAAUGGUGUCCUUUGGUAUUCAUUAAAGUUACCACCACAUGGGGGGCCUUUAUAUUUAAGUUUUGCCCAAGGGUUAGCUUAUCUGCUUCUUGUGCUAACAGGGCUGUAGCUGGCAGGACUGUCAGACAUGGAGGCCAGCCUUUUGAAACUCCAUCUAGCUGUUUUGAGAGGUAGGCCACUGGUCUUGGCCAGGGCCCCACAGUUUGAGUUAAAACUCCAACUGCCAUUUUUUCUCUUUCUGACACAUAGAGUGUGAAGGGCUUGGUCAAAUCUGGUAGUCCCAGAGCUGGGACUGACAUAAGUUUUUCUUUUAACUUACAAAAGUCUUGCUGUUGUAGAGGCCCCCAUUCAAAGGGCUCUCAGUCGCCCCCCUUUGUAACCCCAUACAACAGUUUGGCUAGCACGCAAAGUUUGGAAUCCAUAAUCUGCAAAACCCACAGCUCCUAGAAAUUCCCUUACUUGCCUUCUGGUUUUAUGUUCUGGUAGGCUGCAGAUGACCUGCUUUCUUUCUGACCCCAGGCUGUGCUCCCCUUUCUGAAUAGUGAAUCCCAGGUAGCAUACCUGCUGUCUGCAAAUCUGAGCUUUCUUCUUGGACACCUUAUAUCCACAGUCCUCCAGGUGCCAAAGUAGGGCAUCCAUCCCUUUUGCACACCCGACUGCUGUGGAGUGUCCUAGCAGAAGGUCGUCCACGUACUGGAGCAAGACGCAGCCUAGGUCUUUAGCAGGAAACUUCUGGAUGUCUCGAGCCAACGCCUCCCUGAAGAUGAUGCGGGAAUUUUUGAACCCUUGGGGAAGCUGAGUCCAAGUGUACUGUGUGGUGACACCUGACCCCGGGUCUUCCUACUGAAAGGCAAACAGUUUUUGGUUCUCAGGAGCUAGUCUAAUGCUAAAGAAGGCACCCUUCAAGUCCAGGCAAGUGAACCAGCCAUCCUCAGCCAGCAGCAAUCCUAACAAUGUGUAAGUGUUAGGAACUGUUGGGUGCAGAGUCACAGUAGCUUGGUUAACCAAGCAUAAGUCCUGUACGGGCCGAUAGUCCUUGGUCCCUGGCUUGGGGACAGGUAGGAGGGGGGUGUUCCAUGGAGACUGGCAAGGAACUAUAAUUCCAAAAGCUUUCAAGUGUCUAAAAUGUGCCUGUAUUCCUUCAAGAGCUUCCCUGGGAACCGGAUACUGCUUUUGUCUGAUUGGCUGGGCCCCAGGCUUAACUUCUAUGAGUACAGGGGCUUGAUUGAUCACCAGCCCUGGAGGAUUGUCCUCCACCAAUACUCGGGGCCAUUGCUUAGCUAGUGCCGGUUUUAUCUCCUGACCUGGCUCGGUUAGAAAAAGGCUCCAUUCUUCUCAGGGGACCAUAAGGACCAUGAUAACUCCUGUUCCCGGUAACUUCAGCUAUAAAGAGCCCUGUUUUGUAAAGGAAAUGGUGGCUCUCAGCUUGCUAAGCAAGUCUCUGCCUAACAAAGGCAAGGGGCAGUCAGGCAUAUACAGAAAUUGAUGAGUCACUUUAUGUCCUUCUAUCCAAGCAGGUCCACGGUAGGUAGAAAACCUGCUUGGUGGAGACUCUUGCUCCUAUUAUAUCAGCGGUUUUCUUAGAUAAGGGGGCCACUGGGGUGGUUACUACUGAGUGUUCAGCACGGUAUUGACCAAAAACUUAAUGUCCUUGACCCCUAUUGUCAUCCUGACCAUGGGCUCCUUGGGGGCAUUUGAGCUCGAUCCCCUUCAGUCUAGAAGCCCUUCGGCCAGAUUAAACAAAGUCCCUUCGUCUUUUUCUAUGGUCUUUUUGCUCUGCAUCACCUUGCUUCUCUUUUAGUUGGGGACAUUUAUCUUUCCAAUGUCCUAUUUCUUUACAGUAGGCACAUUGGUUACGCUGCAGACGUGAGCGAUUGGACUGGGCAUUCCUCCCAGAACACCCCUUUCCCUGUCCCUUCGUGGGGAUUCCCCUAAUUGCCACAGCCAGCAAAUCAGCGUUCCACCUGGCCUGGCGUUCUCCCUCCUUAUGGCUUUCUCUGCGGCUUGUUGCAUCACUGUUUACAAAUAUUUGAUUAGCUAUCUCCAGUAACUGCGAGAUAUUCAUUCCUGCAAAACCAGCCUGUUUUUGUAAUUUCCUUUGGAUAUCUUCUGCACUUUGACUAACUAAGGCCAUGUUAAUCAUAUGCUGAUUUUCAGGACUAUCUGGAUUGAAAGGAAUGUACAUAUGAUAGGCCUCACACAGUCUUUCAUAGAAUUGGGCUGGGCUUUCCUCCUUUCCUUGGAUGACUUCAGAAACUUUAUUUACGUUGGUGGCCUUUUGAGCCCCUUUUUUUCAGACCUUCAAUUAAUGCCUCCUGGUAUUGUCUUAGCCUCUCCAUAUCUGGUCCUUCAUUCAGAUCCCAUUGAGGGUCCAUUCCUGGCAGCUGAAUUCUUAUGUAUUCCUGGGGAUUUUGGUAAUCGGCUGGGACAUGCUCCUCUAGCCAUUUAGUUGCUGCCUGGAGCACCCUUCGCUUUUCAUCUGUGUUAAAGAGGUACAUGAGUAGCUGGUGGGAAUCAGCCCAAGUAGUAUUAUGAGUCUGUAUAAUAGUUUGGAGCAAGUCAAUUAGAGCUUGAGGCUUUUCAGUGUAAGAUGGAGUAUUAUUUUUCCAAUUGAGGAAGUCAGCAGAAGUGAAAGGGUGAUACACAAAGGCACGCCUUUCCAUCAUGUGUCCAUCCUCAUCUAUCCCAGUAUAUUGCUGCUCUCUCAGGGGCAUUUGUGUUCCAGUCUUGGGCUGUAAGCGAGCCACCAAGGGAGGAGUUUCUCCUGCAGCUUCACUUCCUUUCUUGUCUACUCUGGGUGGUCUAGGGGCUGUGAGCUCAGGAUUAGGGGGCCUCUCUGCUUGGUAAGGGAGGGGCACUGUUGGUGCCAUCUCCUGCCAUGAGUCUUUGGGCUCUGGGUCAGACAGAACUUUAGGGGCUGGCUUCUGUCAGCGGGUGGAGUGAGGACCUUCCUUAACUAACUGUCCCUUUGCUACUAGUACUGCUGCUGCCUGUCCUGUUAACCACUGUGGGGGAUCUAAAACUAGCUGUAACCAGGAAUCUAUAUAUGGGAACUGAUCUGGGUGUCCUGGCUUGCCAGUUACUUUGUGCCAUACCUUUGAAACAAGAGACCUCUCCAGGCUUCCUUCUGAUGGCCAACCUACCUCUAAUUCUGGCCAAUCUAUUUCACACAAAGUUCUAAGUUUUCCUGGAGUCAUAGUAACUCCAUAGUCUCCUUUGAAUCCUUUCUUGAAAUUCUUUAACAUAGUUCCCAAUGGGGUGGGCUUACUUUGUGCCUGACCCAUGUUUUCUCAAGACAAAAUAUCAUGCUCACACCACACACUUACCACAAAACAAAGAACAGGUAAAGAGGGCACACACACACCUUUAUCGUUUAUACCAAACCAAAAUCAGAGUAUCAAGAAAUUUAAGCCAAGUCAAAACCAAAACCAAAGUAUCAAGCAAUUCAAGUCAAGUCAAAACCAGAACAAAAGUGCCGAUACAGGCAUGCUGUGGGUGGUCAGGCCAUGCUUCCACUCAGAUGGAGUGGGCAAGUUUCAAAGACUAUUCUUACCAAGUUUCAGAUGUCUGGACUCCAAGUGCCAUUUCCUUCCCUGUGUUCAGCCACUGCUUUGGUCCUCCAUGGGGGCUUGCCACACACUGCUCUGGUGAGGCGUUCCACCGGGCCAAUUGCCUACCCGGGAGCGCUCUUUGGAUCAUGUCGCUCGGGUAGGCUGGAGUCCUCUGCAGGGAUGCUCCACAGGGCAGGCCUAAGCUGCCUAAGGGGCUGCCUCGGCUGUCCAUCAGUCACCUCGUUUCCCAGUCAGCGAACCAAGAAAUGUAGCAGGACGAGCUGCGGACAAAACCCCACAGACACCGAGGUAGUGAAGGUAGUGGCUUUAAUCAGCUGGAAGGAUCGGCAGACUAAUGUCUCAAAAUCCGAGCUCCCCGAGUGCACAAUUUCUGUCCCUUUUAAGGGCUCACAACGUUAAAGAUUUUACAUGAAAGGGCCGUGAUCGAUCGAGCGAUCUAGGGGGUAUGUGACAGGGGCUUCAUGCACCAGUAAUCAGAGUGAAACAGAACAGAAGGAGAAGUUUCACAAUGUCCUUCCAUACAAUGUCUGGAAUCUAUGGAUAACAUCGGUUGCUAGGUCAUGGGUUGAAUUUUAACUACCAGGUUAGGUCACGAAGGCCCAGACCUGGUUUUGGGUCUGGUUUUGGGUCUGGUGCCUGGCGCCGGGCUGCCUGCCUUUGGUUUCCACUUCCUUGUUUCUUCUUAAAACAGGUACCGAGUAUAAAACAAUAUAAAACAAUAUGAGGGGUCUCUUUUUCUCUUCUCUCACCUUGGCCUCCCAAAGUGCUGGUGAUUACAGGCAUGAGCCACCAUUCCUGGCCCUUAAAUAUUUGUUUUAUUUGGUUUUUGUUGUAUAUGCCUCAAGUCUUUCAUUUUUUUAUUGAGGUAUAAUUUAUAUUUAGUAAAAUUUAUUCUUUUUACAUCUACAGUUCUUUGAAAUUUGGCAAUGUAUACCAUUCUGUAACCACCACUAUAAUCAAGAUAAAUAAUGUUUCUGUCACCUGAAAAGGCUCCCUUGUGCUCUUUUGUAAUCAACUCCUCCCUCUAAUUCCCAGCCUUUAUCAACUACUGAUAAGAUCUCUUUCACUGCAAUUUUGUUCAUUAUAAACUGUUAUAUAAGUGAAAUUAUAAGUUUAUAGCCUUUUGAUUCUUGCUUCUUUUACUCAACAUUUUUCUCAAGAUUCAUCUGUGUUGUUGUGCAUGUCAGUAAUUCUUUAUUGUUGUUGUUCAGUAGUUUUCUAUUGUAUGAAUAUAGCAAUUUGUUUAUCCAUUUAUCUAUAGAUGGACACUUCAGUAGUUUCCAAUAUUUAGUGACUAUGAAUAAAGCUGUUUUAAACAUUUGCAGACAGAUUUUCCUGUGGACAGAUUUGUGUUUGUAUUUUGGGAUGGGUAAAUACCUAAGAGUGGAAUUACUAGGGAUUAUGUUAAGUAAAUGUUCAACUUUACUACCAACUGCCAAACUGUUUUCCAGACUGGCUUUAAAAUUUCUCAGUCCUACCAACAAUGUAUUAGAACUUCAUUGCUCCACAUCCUUGCCACCAUUUGUGUUUUUAAAUUUUAUAAUACAUUAACAAAUAAUAAUUCUAUAUAUUUAUGAGGAACAUAUGAUAUAGAUAUAUAAUGCAGUAUGAUUGAACUAAGAAAAGUGACAUAUCCAUCUCCUCAAAUACUUAUCAUGUAUUCUUCCUAUCUAACUUAAACCUGUACCUUCUUAGCAACAUCUCCCCAUUCCCCAACCCAACCUCUGAUAGCCACCAUUCUACUCUCUAUUUCUUUGAUUUAGAUUAUUUUAUAUUCAAAAUAAAAGUGAGAUUAUUCAGUAUUUUUCUUUAUGUGGCUGGCAUAUUUCACUUAGCAUAAUGUCCUCCAGUUUUAUCCACGGUGUCGCAAAUGACAGGAUUUUUUUCCUUUUCAGGGCUGUUACUCCAUUGUGUAUACAUACUGCAUUUUCUUUAUCAAUUUUUUUUGAUGGGCACUUAGAUUGAUUUUAUAUGCUGGCUAUUUUGAAAAAUGAUGCAAUGAAUAUAGGAGUGCAGACAUCCCUUCUACAUACUAAUUUUAAAUCCUUUUGAUAUAUACACAGAAGUGGGAUUUCUGGAUCAUAUGGUAGUUCUAUUUUUAGUUUAUUGAGGAACCACCACACACUUUUUUAUAAUGGCUGUAAUAUUAUAAUUCACAUUCCCACCAACAGUAUACCUGAGUUCCUUUCUCUUCACUUGUUAUCACUUCUCUUUUUUAUAAUAACCACCAUCACAGGCAUGAGGUUAUAUUAUAUUGUGGUUUUAAUUUGCAUUUCCCUAAUGAUUAGUAAUGCUGAACAUUUUUUUCAUGUACCUGUUGGCCAUUUGUAUGUCUUCUUUGAGAAAUGUCUUUUCAGAUCUUUUGUCUGUUUUAAAAUAGUUGUUUCUUGCUAGUCAUUUGUUUGAAUACCUUACAUAUUUUGAAUACCUUUGUUUGAAUACCUUACAUAUUGAAUACCUUACAUAUUUUGUAUAGCAAAUCUUUAUCAGAUGUUGGCUUGCAAAUAUUUGUUGUUUCCUUUGCGUUACAAAAUCAUUUUUGUUUGUUACAAACAGGUUUGUCUAUUUUUGUUCGUGUUGCCUAAGAUUUUGGAUGUAAUCCCAAAGAAUCAUUGCCAGACCAAUUUCAUGUAGUUUUUUCUGCUAUAUUUUCUUUUAGUAUUUUUACAUUUUCAGGUCUUUUCUUUAAAUUUGUAAUCCAUGGUGAGGUGAUUUUCAUGUGCAGUGUGAAAUAAAGGUCCAAUUUCAUUCUUCGGCAUAUGGAUAUUCAGUUUACCCAACAUCAUUUAUUAAAAAGACUGUCCUUUUCCCAUUGUAUAUUAUUGGCAUCUUUGUCAAAAAUCAAUUGAAUGAAAACACAUGUGUUUAUUUCUGGAAUUUUUAUUCCAUUUCUUUGUGUAUGUGUCUAUUGUUAUGCCAGUACCAUGCUGUUUUAAUGAAUAUAGCCUUCUAAUAUAAUGUGAAAUCAGAUAGUGCCUCCAGCUUUGUUCUUUUUGCUGAAGUUUGCCUUGGCUAUUUGGGUUUUUAAAUUUUAUACAUUAUAAUUUAUUUUGUUUUAUGAUUGACACAGUUAUAUAUAUGUAUGGGGUACAUAGUAAUAUUUUGAUACAUAUAGUGAUAAGAUCAGGGUAACUAACAUAUUUAUCAUCUCAAACAUUUAUCAUUUGUUUGAGUUGAGAACAUUCAAUAUCCACUUUCUGGCUAUUUGAAAAAAUAAAUUAUUUUUAACUAUAGUCAUCUUACAAUC
rnacentral:lncRNA from 1 species